rnacentral:rRNA from 1 species
UACAGAGGGGGCAAGCGUUAUUCGGAAUUAUUGGGCGUAAAGGGCGCGUAGGCGGCCAUUCAAGUGACGGGUGAAAGCCCUCGGCUUAACCCGAGGAACUGCCUGUCAGACUGGAUGGCUUGAGACCGGGAGAGGUGAGUGGAAUUCCCAGUGUAGCGGUGAGAUGCGUAGAUAUUGGGAGGAACACCAGUGGCGAAGGCGGCUCACUGGACCGGAACUGACGCUGAGGCGCGAAAGCGUGGGGAGCAAACAGG